rnacentral:tRNA from 1 species
AAAUAUGAAGCAAGUUGCAUAUUAGUUUCGACCUAAUACUUUAAGGUAUUUAUUAUAUUACCCAUAUUUU